CACUGCAUCCCCUCUCACAUGUACUCUGCGCCCCUCACACAGACACACUGCAUCCCCUCUCACAUGUACUCUGCGCCCCUCACACAGACACACUGCAUCCCCUCUCACAUGUACUCUGCGCCCCUCACACAGACACACUGCAUCCCCUCUCACAUGUACUCUGCACCCCUCACACAUGUACUCUGCAUCCCCUCUCACAUGCACUCUGGGCCCCUCACACAGACACACUGCAUCCCCUCUCACAUGUACUCUGCACCCCUCACACAUACACACUGCAUCCCCUCUCACAUGUACUCUGCGCCCCUCACACAGACAC